CACCAUUAUCCAUCCGCUAAGCAAUAGCAGAUUUCUGGUGCCAUGCUCUCUGGAGGAGGAGACAUGAAGACGGGGAGUUUUGCCAUUGAUGCUGGAGCGCAGAGGAGAGGAAUUCGACUAGUAGGUUAACUGGGUGACUGCAGGCCCAGCACAAGAGGUCCGGUACACAAGCAGGGAGUGGAAAGACGCAACAGCAAUAUUAACAAACUGGUUAACGUCAACACCUGGCAAAAUCCUUGGGACCCUUUAAAGAAGAGACGGGCCUGGGCUGGGAACCCAGUUCUCCAACAUGCCACUGAGCACAGCAAGGGAGGAUUAGCACACACCCCUUGUUCCAGGGUCUCUCUGUCCACUGCAGUGCAAUCUGGGCUGCUGACCAGCACCAGGUGAACCAGCCGCAGAGCGAGCCUUGGUGUUCAGCUAGAGAAGAUUGAGAUGAAGGCCCUUUCAGGGCAUGUCUACACAGCAUUUUGGAGUGCAGCUACCAGCCCUGGCCUAAGAGGAGAAGGCCCUGUGCAGCUAAAGGUGUGGGAAGAGAAAGAAAGGAAGAAAGAAAAUGAGUGUAUUCCAGGACAAAGGAGUUAAAAUUUACAGCUAUUUCAAUCUGCAUCUGCAAAGGAUUUUUUCUUGCUUCCAACUGUUAAACUUCAAGUGUAAAGUGCUGCGCUCCUGUAUGGACAUUUGCUUUCAAUUAACGAAGCUAAAUCCUGAACUGAAAUAA